UCUACCGGUGCUGACCAGAUCAGC
rnacentral:siRNA from 1 species